rnacentral:rRNA from 1 species
GGAGGAUCCAAGCGUUAUCCGGAAUCAUUGGGUUUAAAGGGUCCGUAGGCGGUUUAAUAAGUCAGUGGUGAAAGCCCAUCGCUCAACGGUGGAACGGCCAUUGAUACUGUUAAACUUGAAUUAUUAGGAAGUAACUAGAAUAUGUAGUGUAGCGGUGAAAUGCUUAGAGAUUACAUGGAAUACCAAUUGCGAAGGCAGGUUACUACUAAUGGAUUGACGCUGAUGGACGAAAGCGUGGGUAGCGAACAGGAUUAGAUACCCUGGUGGUCCACGCCGUAAACGAUGGAUACUAGCUGUUGGAAGCAAUUUCAGUGGCUAAGCGAAAGUGAUAAGUAUCCCACCUGGGGAGUACGUUCGCAAG